CAUGAGACCAUUUGGAGAAGCUUUCAAGGCUAUGUAACUAGUCAACAAAAGUCCCCAUAUUUGCUCCAAAUAUAAGUAUACAACCUUCAACUUCACUCCAAGAUCCACAGUGGAAGGAUCUGAUUUUGUAUUUGAGGAGGAUAUAUGGCUGAAAGUGCAAGAUCUUACUACAGUUUGUCUUUCAGCACCAAUAUCAUGGCUUCUAAUAAUUAGUAUCAAAUUGGCUUGUAUACCAGUCAUUGAUUAUAGCGAGUUCACUACAUAAGAUUCUAGAAACACAAAAGUUUUGACAAUCAGUUCCUCUUAGAUUUUUUUUGUUCACGCAUAUACUCGGGUGAGAGAAUCAAACCUUAAAUAAGCUCGCUGUUGGUUACUAUAGCGGAAAGAGAAAGAAACCAAAAAAAAGUAGGAAAGAGAUGAGGACAAAAGGUUAAAGCAAGAAGUUUGACUUUGAUACCAACCCGAUGUAGGACCACUUGAGAUGACCUCCAUAGCAUAGAUGAGACUAAGGGAUGAGAGGGAUUAGGAAUAAGCUAUUGUUGCCUUGAAAUCCUAUUGUAGAAAAUAUGGCAAAAAGGGAAUAUUUUGAUGGGUGUUAACAAGUUAACAGGCUUCUAGGCCAACAAAUUAGUUUAGAAGGCUCCUGAGGAUGUAUGAGACUAAUUUGAAAGGUGCUGAGGGUUUUAUGGUUGCUAUGUAAGCAAAUCUCAGGUUACAAUGAGAAACAUUAAGAAGAGUGAGGUGUAGAAGAGUGGAAAGGGGAAUAGGGAUAAUGUCAUCAAGAAAACAAAGAUAAUAUAAGAGAGACAAAGAGGCCAAGAAAGAAGGAGAGGGAGAAUAGAAGAAGGGGAAAAGACCCCUAGAGAGAAGGGGGGGAAAGAGCGGGGACGAGAAAGAAAACACUUUCUUUCUCAAAAAAAAGAAAAAGAAAAAGAAAACUUAUAUUGCAAUAUAAAAGCCUAUCUGUCCAGCUUUGCCAUCACUGCAUAUAGCCUACCCUAAUCCAAGGACCAAGUAACCAAAUAAGUGAAAAAAGGCAACAAAUUGGUCAAGACAAUAUAUGGCCAAGUAACCUGCGGUCCAAGAUACUUUAAGAUCUAAGAAAACUAAUAGCCAUAACUCUACACCAUGUACAAAUUUAAGUUAUGAGUAGUUCUAGACAAUUCAUGCUUCAGAGUCUGAGUUUGACUCCAUGAGAACCCUAUGCAGUAGGGUAGCCUUCUAUCAUUUUGACCACUUCAACACUGCAUAGCUUCCAAAUAGAGAGAAAAGACAGGCUAAUCAAAGUUGGAUCAGUCAAAACAAAGAAUUCCAGCAUUUCUGAAAUUUUCAAGAAAAGCUGACCCUUUCCUCCGACAAUAACAAGAAGGGCGUGAGUUGAUUUUUUAUAUAAAACUAUAUUAGGAGGAAAUAUUUAGAUCCUUUGUGCCCUAAUGUCUAAAAUACUUUACCAAAAGACCAUCAAAGGAAUGGAUUAAAGAUGCGAGAUUGUUGUUUUUGAAGAUGAUGAGGAAGCCAUGACAAUUGUUGAGAUUUUAGAUGAGCCUGACACGGCCAUCCUUCAUGAUAAUGAAGAUGGAAUCCAACUCCUCCACCAUUGAGGCAGACACUAGAACACCUAUUUUACCAAUGUUGGCUAAACCGUACCGGUCGGUCACCGAUUUAGUAUAGUACUGGUUCGGUACCGUAUUGACACACGGUAUGCCAUGGUAUGCUGGUGAUUGGCUUGCCUAUUUUUUGUUUUUAUUUGUUUAUUCAAUUUUUUAAAACAUUUAAUGAAAUGUAAUCAAUUUGUUUUUUACUUUAUUUUUUGAAUGACUUUAAGUCUAAUUUGAUUUUUCUUGAUGUCUUUUGAUGCUUUGAUUAGGGUUAAAAUCCUAUUUCGAUAUUUUUAUUACUCGAUACAUCUUAACUGGUGCUUUUUAACCCUAAAUAGACCAUAAUUAUAUCAUGAAAUGCAGUGAAAGACAAAACAUACAAUCAGUUAAAUGUAUUUAAAAUGUAACAUACACACCGACAUCUAAAAUCUGGUGAAAUAUCGAUGUCUCUCAUAGAUGUCAGGAUCAUUAACAUAAUCAGGGCACAUCAAACCACCCUCCAACCAAGGUAUGCUAUACUAUAUCAAACUAGAUGGUACGGGGCAUACCAUACCAUACCAAUUCGUUACCAAUGCGCAGUACAGAAAGCACACUAACACUCGGUACGUCAAACCGGCCUCCUUACCAGGUGUACCGACACAAUAACAGAAUGGCACCGGUACGGGGCCUAAUACCAAAAUGAUGUACCUUGCCUCCAAGCACAUGGCUUUGUAAUCCUAUACGCUUAUCCCAAAAGGUAUGCAUUUUGGAUCAUAGCUAAUCUCGGAUCUCCACUGAAGCUCUAGCUUUGGAAAGCAUCACUAGUUUGAUAAUAUGGUUGUGGAGAAACCCAUCCGAAUAUACCGGCAACAAAAUCCAAACUGUUUGAUGCUUCAUCCUAUAUAGGAUAGUAGCCACUAGAAAACGAUGCCUCAGAUUUACCAUAUCCAUAUCCGUAUAGCUUAUAGGCUUAUGGCUACAGGUAAUAAGAUCAACGUACAACUUAGUGAUGCCCGUGCCAAAGACACAUCUCGACCACACAGGGCUAUGGAUCCUGACCAUAUAGGUCACAAUCUCACAAGUCUUGUAUGUAUGUGUCAACUAGUUUUUGAUGAUUGAUUAUUUUCUUAUUUUAGUUAGGAAAGUGUGAUGUCAGUUAAUUCUAGAAAGUUUGAUUUUUGUGAACUUUCUUUUUGAGAACUUUUGAUAUUAUUAAGAAAGUUAGUAGUUAGAAUUCUUCAAGUUAGAAUCGGACUCGGUGCCCCAUAUUAAAAAGUUAACGAAAAGAGUUCCCUUAUGCAAGUUAUAAAUACCCUCACUUGGGCUCCUCCUGUAAUCAAUACUAAAGAUUCUUGAGCAGAAAAAAUUCUAUUGUGGAAAUUAUUCUUUCCUUGUUUUCUUUCUAUUCUCUCUUUCCUCCCUUUUGGUGGAUUCUUAGGGUUUGCGAAUGAGCAUCGUGAGAGUUGUAUCCUUAGAGUAGACUGCCAAGGUGGUGCUUUUGGCUUUGGAAAAGAGUGAUCCGCCCUUGCUUUUUUUUUCCAACUACCGUCCCUUAUGGCGUACAUGUUGUAGUGGAGUUUCUACAUCGUCAUAAUCGGUUACACAGACAUACCUUUCCUCUUUCGAGUUUUCAACCAAAGUUCAACA